AUUGAACGCUGGCGGCAUGCCUUACACAUGCAAGUCGAACGGCAGCGGGGGAGAAGCUUGCUUUUCCUGCCGGCGAGUGGCGAACGGGUGAGUAAUACAUCGGAACGUGCCCUGUAGUGGGGUAUAACUAGUCGAAAGAUUAGCUAAUACCGCAUACGACCUGAGGGUGAAAGUGGGGGACCGCAAGGCCUCAUGCUAUAGGAGCGGCCGAUGUCUGAUUAGCUAGUUGGUGGGGUAAAGGCCUACCAAGGCGACGAUCAGUAGCUGGUCUGGGAGGACGAUCAGCCACAUUGGGACUGAGACACGGCCCAGACUCCUACGGGAGGCAGCAGUGGGGAAUUUUGGACAAUGGGCGAAAGCCUGAUCCAGAAAUGCCGCGUGUGUGAAGAAGGCCUUCGGGUUGUAAAGCACUUUUGUCCGGAAAGAAAUGGAUCUGGUUAAUACCUGGGGUCGAUGACGGUACCGGAAGAAUAAGGACCGGCUAACUACGUGCCAGCCGCCGCAGUAA
rnacentral:rRNA from 1 species